rnacentral:rRNA from 1 species
AGAGUUUGAUCAUGGCUCAGAUUGAACGCUGGCGGCAUGCCUUACACAUGCAAGUCGAACGGCAGCACGGGGCAACCUGGUGGCGAGUGGCGAACGGGUGAGUAAUGUAUCGGAACGUACCUUUCAGUGGGGGAUAACGUAGCGAAAGUUACGCUAAUACCGCAUAUUCUGUGAGCAGGAAAGCAGGGGAUCGCAAGACCUUGCGCUGAUUGAGCGGCCGAUAUCAGAUUAGCUAGUUGGUGAGGUAAAGGCUCACCAAGGCGACGAUCUGUAGCGGGUCUGAGAGGAUGAUCCGCCACACUGGAACUGAGACACGGUCCAGACUCCUACGGGAGGCAGCAGUGGGGGAUUUUGGACAAUGGGGGCAACCCUGAUCCAGCCAUGCCGCGUGAGUGAAGAAGGCCUUCGGGUUGUAAAGCUCUUUCGGCCGGGAAGAAAUCGCAUGGGUUAAUACCCUAUGCGGAUGACGGUACCGGCAUAAGAAGCACCGGCUAACUACGUGCCAGCAGCCGCGGUAAUACGUAGGGUGCGAGCGUUAAUCGGAAUUACUGGGCGUAAAGCGUGCGCAGGCGGUUUUGUAAGACAGGCGUGAAAUCCCCGGGCUCAACCUGGGAACUGCGUUUGUGACUGCAAGGCUAGAGUACGGCAGAGGGGGGUGGAAUUCCACGUGUAGCAGUGAAAUGCGUAGAGAUGUGGAGGAACACCAAUGGCGAAGGCAGCCCCCUGGGUCGAUACUGACGCUCAUGCACGAAAGCGUGGGUAGCAAACAGGAUUAGAUACCCUGGUAGUCCACGCCCUAAACGAUGUCAACUAGGUGUUGGGUGGGUAAAACCAUUUAGUACCGGAGCUAACGCGUGAAGUUGACCGCCUGGGGAGUACGGCCGCAAGGUUAAAACUCAAAGGAAUUGACGG